GAUGAACGCUGGCGGCGUGCCUAAUACAUGCAAGUCGAGCGAACGGACGAGAAGCUUGCUUCUCUGCUGUUAGCGGCGGACGGGUGAGUAACACGUGGAUAACCUACCUAUAAGACUGGGAUAACUACGGGAAACCGGAGCUAAUACCGGAUAAUAUUUUCAACCGCAUGAUUCAAAAGUGAAAGACGGUCUUGCUGUCACUUAUAGAUGGAUCCGCGCUGCAUUAGCUAGUUGGUAAGGUAACGGCUUACCAAGGCAACGAUGCAUAGCCGACCUGAGAGGAUGAUCGGCCACACUGGAACUGAGACACGGUCCAGACUCCUACGGGAGGCAGCAGUAGGGAAUCUUCCGCAAUGGGCGAAAGCCUGACGGAGCAACGCCGCGUGAGUGAUGAAGGUCUUCGGAUCGUAAAACUCUGUUAUUAGGGAAGAACAUAUGUGGAAGUAACUGUGCACAUCUUGACGGUACCUAAUCAGAAAGCCACGGCUAACUACGUG
rnacentral:rRNA from 1 species